CUCUCGGCAACGGAUAUCUCGGCUCUCGCAUCGAUGAAGAACGUAGCGAAAUGCGAUACUUGGUGUGAAUUGCAGAAUCCCGUGAACCAUCGAGUCUUUGAACGCAAGUUGCGCCCGAAGCCAUUAGGCCGAGGGCACGCCUGCCUGGGUGUCACGCAACGUC
rnacentral:rRNA from 1 species